CCUACGGGUGGCAGCAGUGAGGAAUAUUGGUCAAUGGACGAAAGUCUGAACCAGCCAAGUAGCGUGAAGGAUGACUGCCCUAUGGGUUGUAAACUUCUUUUAUAUGGGAAUAAAAUGUUCCACGUGUGGGAGUUUGUAUGUACCAUAUGAAUAAGGAACGGCUAACUCCGUGCCAGCAGCCGCGGUAAUACGGAGGAACCGGGCGUUAUCCGGAUUUAUUGGGUUUAAAGGGAGCGUAGGUGGAUUGUUAAGUCAGUUGUGAAAGUUCGCGGCUCAACCGUAAAAUUGCAGUUGAAACUGGCAGUCUUGAGUACAGUAGAGGUGGGCGGAAUUCGUGGUGUAGCGGUGAAAUGCUUAGAUAUCACGAAGAACUCCGAUGGCGAAGGCAGCUUACUGGACUGCAACUGACACUGAGGCUCGAAAGUGUGGGGAUCAAACAGGAUUAGAUACCCUUGUAGUC
rnacentral:rRNA from 1 species